GUGGGGAAUAUUGGACAAUGGGCGAAAGCCUGAUCCAGCCAUGCCGCGUGUGUGAAGAAGGUCUUCGGAUUGUAAAGCACUUUAAGUUGGGAGGAAGGGUAGUAACCUAAUACGUUGCUACUUUGACGUUACCGACAGAAUAAGCACCGGCUAACUUCGUGCCAGCAGCCGCGGUAAUACGAAGGGUGCAAGCGUUAAUCGGAAUUACUGGGCGUAAAGCGCGCGUAGGUGGUUUUGUAAGUUGGAGGUGAAAUCCACGGGGUGAAACUGGGAGCUGCCUCCAAAACUGCAUGACUAGAGUACGGUAGAGGGUAGUGGAAUUUCCUGUGUAGCGGUGAAAUGCGUAGAUAUAGGAAGGAACACCAGUGGCGAAGGCGACUACCUGGACUGAUACUGACACUGAGGUGCGAAAGCGUGGGGAGCAAACAGGAUUAGAUACCCCUGUAGUCC
rnacentral:rRNA from 1 species